ACCGCCAUACGACAUUGAAAACACCGGUUCUCGUCCGAUCACCGAAGUUAAACAAUGUCGGGCCCGGUCAGUACUUGGGAGGGUGACCACCUGGGAACACCUGGCUGUAGGCU
rnacentral:rRNA from 1 species